rnacentral:rRNA from 1 species
CGUGUAGGCGGCUGAGCAAGUCAGAUGUGAAAGCCCUGGGCUUAACCCAGGAAGUGCAUUUGAAACUGCUUAGCUUGAGUAAGGGAGAGGAAAGUGGAAUUCCUGGUGUAGAGGUGAAAUUCGUAGAUAUCAGGAGGAACACCGGUGGCGAAGGCGACUUUCUGGCCCUAUACUGACGCUGAGACGCGAGAGCGUGGGUAGCAAACA